GUGUGGAAUUAAAACUUUUUGUCCAAAUUAAAUUAAGAAUGAAGGGAUAUAAAUCUGGCUAUAUGCUGGAAAAUCUCGAUAAAUGUUUGACUACGAGGGAACUAUUAAGUUUCUAGUAAAAAUGUCAAACCUGAGAUUAUCAGCAGGAAAGGCCCCAUUAGAUAUUAAAUUAUCUUGUGGGGAAUCCUCACAGGCCAUACGCCAGAGACCGUUUUAACGGUCAAGAUAUGGUCGGACCCCACGAGCGAUCGUGGG
rnacentral:ncRNA from 2 species